CUUUUUCAAUGGGACGAUUUUCAAAUGUAUUGAUCUAAUUUGGUUAUGGCCUUACUUUUACGUUUUCCUUUUAGAGCAUCCAGAUAUGUGGGGAUACUAUGCAGAAGGCAUUUCUGGAAUGGAUCUAUGCCAAAUUUGAAGUGGAAAGGCUGUCUCUGGUGCAGCAUUUUCAGUGCCCUGCAUGCACACCAUCCAUGCUGGCAUGUGGAUGGGAACCGAAAACUUUACCGCUUUAAGAGCCAACCGGGAAUCCUGCGAAAGCAAGAUGUGGUGCAGGUCAAUGGGCGGCAGCACGAGAGUCUGCGAGUAAGUCAGCAAGCAAAUUGGAUGAGGAAGGCGUGGAAGUUGCUGUCUGCCGUCACGGGGUCUUGCUUAAAGGACUGAAUAUGUUCCGUGGGGAAAUAUUUGCAUAGCCAUUAUAUCUCCAGAAACAGUUAAAUUCACAGACUGUGAAGUUUUUUUGCUCAGAUGUAGUGUGCAAAUACUGGCCAUAUCUGGAGAGGGUGGUCCAUUUCUGCCCAGAGCUACAAGACCUGUUGAACAUGCGCCCAUUUCUUUCGAUUAUGCAUGCUAAAGCGCAUUCAUGGACGUGUGAGGUAAUUAUUGACACAUUGUUUUUAUAAACCCCCCCAUUCUUAUGUUUUUUCAAAGUCUAGCAAUUCAUUAAAUGUUUUGUAGUUGAAGUGGGGAGGACGUAACCAAGAAGGAGCAGGUACAACCUUAGGAGAAGAAGUUGAACAAGUCAACAGUUUCCUUUCUCGAGCAGCCUUAUGUUCUAAGUUCAUGGCAAAAGCAGUUUGCACAGACAUGCUUACGAUCCAAGCAAGUGGCUGGAACAAGAGGAAGGCAGAACACCUUGACCGGACAUUGGCAAAAAGAUACAUCAAGACUGUACAGAGGCUUCCAGAAGCAUCAACAGACCUUCAAAAACUUACCACCGAGUUGGCUAUUCAGGAAGACACAGUACAGCAAUGGGUGUGUGAUGUUCAGCAGUGGACCACAGGAGCAACUGUUCCAAAUGACAGCAGACAGAAUACUAUUGAAGGACUCUGAGCAUCAAGCAGUGAAAGUUUCAUCUCUAUCGUCAGACAGUUGGCAUUAAGCAGAGACAUCAAUUGAGGAAAAAGAUUGUUGGAGAAAGAGCUUUGGAUGAUGCCGUUGCUGACUACAACACUGUUGUGGGGGAUGCUUACAAACUCCCUCCUCCUGACGAGCUCUUGGUCAAAGAAAACUUCUCCUGGCCAUGGAAAUGUCACAGUGAUAUGAUCGAGAAAAAAAAAGUUUACAACAAAGUAAUGCUGCUGGAUAGACUGAAGGAAGAAGCAGUAAUUGUGGUUCAAGAAAUCAAGCAGCACUGGGAGUACAUGCGGAGCAUGGCUGGAAAGAUUGAAGAUCUUUCCCCCCAGCUCUCUGAAGGACUCACAGGUCGAACACUGAGAGAGUCUAGUCUUCUGCCUACAACAGAACUGGCCUUUUUCACCACUUUGUCCAGGCGUCUACAGUUUUUGUCUGUAGUGCAACUCCCCCAGCAGACAACAGGAUAGAGUAGUGCACUCUCUAGGGUUAGGGUUAGGGGUUAAGUCCAGGCCCUCACAUCCUGGUGUCAGAACAAUCACUUCAACAACAAGAUAAAGGAGCUUUUCAAAGACUUAAUAAAACACAGAGGCACAACACAUGUCUGGUGAUCACCGGAAGUGAAACAGGUGGGGAGUUUCACCUACAUAAGUGUUCAUCUCUCAGGGGACCUGACCUGGGAGGUGACCACCAGAGAAGUGGCGAAGAAGGCCCAGCAGAGACUCUUCCCACAGUGGACCCUCAGAAAAACCUGGCUCCAACAGAUUUCUAUCAGUGCACCAUAUAAAGUGAUCUGGGCUAUGGAUGCACGUGUGGUUUUGCAGCUGCGCCUUAGAGGAGAGAAAGGACAGGCACUAAUUAAAUGGUGCAUCUAAGAUCAUUGGUGUCCCUCUUCCAUCUUCCCCCAAAGCUUCACAUACAUCCCCAACCCUGACCCACAUCCACGUGUUUAUUUUACUUUAUUUUGUAUGCUGCUCUUUACUUUAUAUGCUACUUUCCAGAAUCACUUUUAUUGCCAGGUAUGUGAACACACAGAAAUAACUCUCUCUGAACCUUAGUUACAGAGAGAGUUAA